GGAUCCAGACUUUGAUCAUGGCUCAGGAUGAACGCUAGCUACAGGCUUAACACAUGCAAGUCGAGGGGCAGCGGGAUUGAAGCUUGCUUCAAUUGCCGGCGACCGGCGCACGGGUGAGUAACGCGUAUCCAACCUUCCGUACACUCAGGGAUAGCCUUUCGAAAGAAAGAUUAAUACCUGAUAGUAUCUUAAGCACACAUGUAAUAAGAUUAAAGAUUUAUCGGUGUACGAUGGGGAUGCGUUCCAUUAGGUAGUAGGCGGGGUAACGGCCCACCUAGCCAACGAUGGAUAGGGGUUCUGAGAGGAAGGUCCCCCACAUUGGAACUGAGACACGGUCCAAACUCCUACGGGAGGCAGCAGUGAGGAAUAUUGGUCAAUGGACGAGAGUCUGAACCAGCCAAGUAGCGUGAAGGAUGAAGGUCCUACGGAUUGUAAACUUCUUUUAUAAGGGAAUAAACCCUCCCACGUGUGGGAGCUUGUAUGUACCUUAUGAAUAAGCAUCGGCUAACUCCGUGCCAGCAGCCGCGGUAAUACGGAGGAUGCGAGCGUUAUCCGGAUUUAUUGGGUUUAAAGGGAGCGCAGACGGGUCGUUAAGUCAGCCGUGAAAGUUUGGGGCUCAACCUUAAAAUUGCAGUUGAUACUGGCGUCCUUGAGUGCGGUUGAGGUGUGCGGAAUUCGUGGUGUAGCGGUGAAAUGCUUAGAUAUCACGAAGAACUCCGAUUGCGAAGGCAGCACACUAAUCCGUAACUGACGUUCAUGCUCGAAAGUGUGGGUAUCAAACAGGAUUAGAUACCCUGGUAGUCCACACGGUAAACGAUGGAUACUCGCUGUUGGCGAUAUACUGUCAGCGGCUUAGCGAAAGCGUUAAGUAUCCCACCUGGGGAGUACGCCGGCAACGGUGCAACUCAAAGGAAUUGACGG
rnacentral:rRNA from 1 species